UACGAAGGGGGCUAGCGUCGUUCGGAAUUACUGGGCGUAAAGCGCAUGUAGGCGGCGAUUCAAGUCGGGGGUGAAAUCCCAGGGCUCAACCCUGGAACUGCCUUCGAUACUGUUUUGCUAGAGUGUGGAAGAGGUAAGUGGAACUGCAAGUGUAGAGGUGAAAUUCGUAGAUAUUUGCAAGAACACCAGUGGCGAAGGCGGCUUACUGGUCCAUUACUGACGCUGAGAUGCGAAAGCGUGGGGAGCAAACAGG
rnacentral:rRNA from 1 species